rnacentral:tRNA from 1 species
CAGUCGUCGCAUAGCCUGGUAUUGCGCCGGAUUUGAAAUCCGGUGUCCCCGUGACUCGGGAGUUCAAAUCUCUCCGACUGCGCCA